AUUGAACGCUGGCGGAAUGCUUUACACAUGCAAGUCGAGCGGCAGCGCGGCCUUCGGGCUGGCGGCGAGCGGCGAACGGGUGAGUAAUGCAUCGGAACAUGCCCAGUCGUGGGGGAUAACACUUCGAAAGAAGUGCUAAUACCGCAUACGUCCUGAGGGGGAAAGCGGGGGAUCGCAAGACCUCGCGCGAUUUGAGUGGCCGAUGUCAGAUUAGCUAGUUGGUGGGGUAAAGGCCUACCAAGGCGACGAUCUGUAGCUGGUCUGAGAGGAUGAUCAGCCACACUGGGACUGAGACACGGCCCAGACUCCUACGGGAGGCAGCAGUGGGGAAUUUUGGACAAUGGGGGCAACCCUGAUCCAGCCAUUCCGCGUGAGUGAAGAAGGCCUUCGGGUUGUAAAGCUCUUUCGGCAGGAACGAAACGGUGGGCUCUAACAUAGUCCGCUAAUGACGGUACCUGAAGAAGAAGCACCGGCUAACUACGUG
rnacentral:rRNA from 1 species